GCAACGGAUAUCUUGGCUCUCGCAUCG
rnacentral:rRNA from 1 species